rnacentral:rRNA from 1 species
GCUCAGGACGAACGCUGGCGGCGUGCCUAAUACAUGCAAGUCGAGCGGACAGAAGGGAGCUUGCUCCCGGAUGUUAGCGGCGGACGGGUGAGUAACACGUGGGUAACCUGCCUGUAAGACUGGGAUAACUCCGGGAAACCGGAGCUAAUACCGGAUAGUUCCUUGAACCGCAUGGUUCAAGGAUGAAAGACGGUUUCGGCUGUCACUUACAGAUGGACCCGCGGCGCAUUAGCUAGUUGGUGAGGUAACGGCUCACCAAGGCGACGAUGCGUAGCCGACCUGAGAGGGUGAUCGGCCACACUGGGACUGAGACACGGCCCAGACUCCUACGGGAGGCAGCAGUAGGGAAUCUUCCGCAAUGGACGAAAGUCUGACGGAGCAACGCCGCGUGAGUGAUGAAGGUUUUCGGAUCGUAAAGCUCUGUUGUUAGGGAAGAACAAGUGCAAGAGUAACUGCUUGCACCUUGACGGUACCUAACCAGAAAGCCACGGCUAACUACGUGCCAGCAGCCGCGGUAAUACGUAGGUGGCAAGCGUUGUCCGGAAUUAUUGGGCGUAAAGGGCUCGCAGGCGGUUUCUUAAGUCUGAUGUGAAAGCCCCCGGCUCAACCGGGGAGGGUCAUUGGAAACUGGGAAACUGAGGCAGAAGUUGAGUGCAGAAGAGGAGAGUGGAAUUCCACGUGUAGCGGUGAAAUGCGUAGAGAUGUGGAGGAACACCAGUGGCGAAGGCGACUCUCUGGUCUGUAACUGACGCUGAGGAGCGAAAGCGUGGGGAGCGAACAGGAUUAGAUACCCUGGUAGUCCACGCCGUAAACGAUGAGUGCUAAGUGUUAGGGGGUUUCCGCCCCUUAGUGCUGCAGCUAACGCAUUAAGCACUCCGCCUGGGGAGUACGGUCGCAAGACUGAAACUCAAAGGAAUUGACGGGGGCCCGCACAAGCGGUGGAGCAUGUGGUUUAAUUCGAAGCAACGCGAAGAACCUUACCAGGUCUUGACAUCCUCUGACAACCCUAGAGAUAGGGCUUUCCCUUCGGGGACAGAGUGACAGGUGGUGCAUGGUUGUCGUCAGCUCGUGUCGUGAGAUGUUGGGUUAAGUCCCGCAACGAGCGCAACCCUUGAUCUUAGUUGCCAGCAUUCAGUUGGGCACUCUAAGGUGACUGCCGGUGACAAACCGGAGGAAGGUGGGGAUGA